UUAACUAUUUUAUAGUACUCAGACGACAUUUGAUACAGAGUUAUGGUCCUCUGGCGGGCACGAUCCAGCCGAAGCCGGUGCUUGCGCGGCCCACCAAAGCAACAAAUUGAGAUAAUCAAGGGUUAGAAGGACCGGUUUCCCGGCUUCAUUUUUAAUGAUCCUUCCGCAGGUUCACCUACGGAAA
rnacentral:misc_RNA from 1 species